rnacentral:rRNA from 1 species
GCAUAUCAAUAAGCGGAGGAAAAGAAACCAACAGGGAUUGCCUCAGUAACGGCGAGUGAAGCGGCAACAGCUCAGAUUUGAAAUCUGGCCCUUUCAGGGUCCGAGUUGUAAUCUGUAGAGGAUGCUUCGGCGUCGGCCCCGGUCUAAGUUCCUUGGAACAGGACGUCACAGAGGGUGAGAAUCCCGUACGUGACCGGUGGCCUAGCCGUGUGAAGCUCCUUCGACGAGUCGAGUUGUUUGGGAAUGCAGCUCUAAAUGGGAGGUAAAUUUCUUCUAAAGCUAAAUAUUGGCCAGAGACCGAUAGCGCACAAGUAGAGUGAUCGAAAGAUGAAAAGCACUUUGGAAAGAGAGUUAAAAAGCACGUGAAAUUGUUGAAAGGGAAGCGCUUGCAACCAGACUUGCCCGCAGUCGCUCAACCGGUCUCUCGGCCGGUGCACUCUUCUGCGGUCAGGCCAGCAUCAGUUCGGGCGGUCGGAUAAAGGCCCCGGGAAUGUGGCCCCCUUCGGGGGGUGUUAUAGCCCGGGGUGGAAUGCGGCCUGCCUGGACUGAGGUCCGCGCUUCGGCUAGGAUGCUGGCGUAAUGGUUGUAAGCGGCCCGUCUUGAAACACGGACCAAGGAGUCUAACAUCUAUGCGAGUGUUUGGGUGUCAAACCCGUGCGCGUAAUGAAAGUGAACGGAGGUGGGAACCCGUUAGGGUGCACCAUCGACCGAUCCUGAUGUCUUCGGAUGGAUUUGAGUAAGAGCAUAGCUGUUGGGACCCGAAAGAUGGUGAACUAUGCCUGAAUAGGGUGAAGCCAGAGGAAACUCUGGUGGAGGCUCGCAGCGGUUCUGACGUGCAAAUCGAUCGUCAAAUUUGGGUAUAGGGGCGAAAGACUAAUCGAACCAUCUAGUAGCUG